GGGGCGGUAGCUCAGUUGGUAGAGCACCUGCUUUGCAAGCAGGAAGUCGUCGGUUCGAGUCCGAUCCGCUCCA
rnacentral:tRNA from 2 species